rnacentral:lncRNA from 1 species
UCCUUCUUCUUCUCAAGCGUCUCCGCUUUGCUUGGACUGUGGCAUCGAUGCAAAAUGGGUUGUGGCAAUUCCUCAGCCACCAGCACGUCAGGAGGGGGGCCAGCAGACGUCUCAAAAGAUGUGACAGAAGAUCUCUCGGUAGACGAUGAGAAAAGAAGGAACUAUGGUGGCGUAUAUGUAGGUCUACCAGCAGACAUGACCACUGUGGCUGCCAGUCAGUCCAAGUCCAUAUGUAAAGGUAAACUUCUGUACCAUUCAUUUCAUAUUCUGGAGAAUUGAUGAGCAUCUUGUAGUGAACCACAGGCCUGCAGUAUGUCUCGUAUAUUUGACUU